AAGAAGCAGGGGCGCGAGGCGAAGGCGGGAAAGGCGCUGCCCGGUCGCUGUGGUGAUAAUGGCGGCUCGUUUGAGCCAAAUGCAAAGCCUUCUCCAGCUGAGGAGAGUUUAACUGAGGAUCGUCCUUCUGAACCUUCCACAGAGAUUCUGAAAUGAUGCACUGCCAUACAUGUGGAAUAAGAGGUAUUGCCUUUUCUGAGGCUAGAACCAAAAGAGCUAUUGAUACCUGGACUUGGUGUUACAAGACAGACAUGAAGCUCUAACCCGCUGACCCACUGGAGAGUUCUGCAGGCAACAGAGCAAUAAAAGCUGCCACUGUGGGUGAAAAGCCCUCGGCAAGCAAUAGUCAGCACUCUCAGAAGAACUGAACAUGCCCCAUCUAAGUAGAACAAGGCAAAUGGAACCUUGUCCUCUAUUCACUGCAGGUACCUGGAAAACUGUAAAUGACCUCAUGAGAUCAGACUAGUCUUUUAUAAAGGUAAGUUUUUAACUAGACGGUGUUAUCACUUGCCCCUUGAAGUCAGUGUCUGCAGAUGCAUCAGAGCCAUCGAACUUUAAGCAAAGCGUCACUUAGAAAGAGAUGUGCACUUGAGCCCUGGUGCUGUCUAGACAUCCUGCCUUUCCACAGAAGCAUGGAAAAGCUUCCCACAGAGCUCAUCCCCACUUCAGGCCACUUCUAAGUCAUAGGAUUUUCUAGUUUUAUUGUGACCUAAAAUACAAGUUGUGAUUCUCUGUACCGAUUAUAGCGAUUGACUCAGUCUCAGUACUUAGAAAAAGGUGCUUUUUCCCCCCUUUUAAAUGUAUCUCAAUGAGAGGACAGAUGCUCAUGUGUUUUGAACUGUGCAUGUUUGAUCUGAUUUGUCAAGCCAUUCCUGCUGGCAGUUUAAAUGCCACGCACACUGUGCUCGUUUCCAACCGUUCCUGUUCGUGUUCUGUACACCUCUGGAAAAGAGCAGGAAGUGCAAGCGGCACCGUUGUUAAAUGUAGCCGACAAAAGCAGCCCUUCGCUAAAGCAAGUUUUAUUUCUUGUUUUAUUGCUCCACCUUCUGGUUAACUGCGGUUUAC